AGCUUCGGCUCAACCGAAGAAGUGCAUUGGAAACUGGGAGACUUGAGUGCAGAAGAGGACAGUGGAACUCCAUGUGUAGCGGUGAAAUGCGUAGAUAUAUGGAAGAACACCAGUGGCGAAGGCGGCUGUCUGGUCUGCAACUGACGCUGAGGCUCGAAAGCAUGGGUAGCGAACAGGAUUAGAUACCCUGGUAGUCCAUGCCGUAAACGAUGAUUACUAAGUGUUGGAGGGUUUCCGCCCUUCAGUGCUGCAGCUAACGCAUUAAGUAAUCCGCCUGGGGAGUACGACCGCAAGGUUGAAACUCAAAAGAAUUGACGGGGGCCCGCACAAGCGGUGGAGCAUGUGGUUUAAUUCGAAGCUACGCGAAGAACCUUACCAGGUCUUGACAUCUUCUGACAGUCUAAGAGAUUAGAGGUUCCCUUCGGGGACAGAAUGACAGGUGGUGCAUGGUUGUCGUCAGCUCGUGUCGUGAGAUGUUGGGUUAAGUCCCGCAACGAGCGCAACCCUUAUUACUAGUUGCCAGCAUUAAGUUGGGCACUCUAGUGAGACUGCCGGUGACAAACCGGAGGAAGGUGGGGACGACGUCAAAUCAUCAUGCCCCUUAUGACCUGGGCUACACACGUGCUACAAUGGAUGGUACAACGAGUCGCGAGACCGCGAGGUUAAGCUAAUCUCUUAAAACCAUUCUCAGUUCGGACUGUAGGCUGCAACUCGCCUACACGAAGUCGGAAUCGCUAGUAAUCGCGGAUCAGCAUGCCGCGGUGAAUACGUUCCCGGGCCUUGUACACACCGCCCGUCACACCAUGAGAGUUUGUAACACCCAAAGCCGGUGGGGUAACCUUUUAGGAGCUAGCCGUCUAAGGUGGGACAG
rnacentral:rRNA from 1 species